UAUUUUAGAGCUAAAAUCAAUUUAUUAAUCUCUAUAAAUUUACUAUCAAAUCCAAUUUCAUUAAAUUUUUCAUAUUUAAAUCCACAUAAAUAAAUUUUAUUGUAACUCAUUUAUACUUAAAAAUAAACUACACCUUGAUUUGAUAUUAAUUUUAUUAUAAAUUAUAGAAAAUUAUUUAUUCUUUUAAAAUAUUCUAAUAACAACGAUAUAUAAAUUGAAUUACAAUUUUAAGUAAGGUACAUCGGGGAUUAUCGAUUAAAAAACAAGUUCCUCUGAAUAGACUAAAAUACCGCCAAAUUUUUUAAGUUUCAAGAAUAUAACUAAUACUACUCAAAUAAAUUAAUUUAUACUUU
rnacentral:rRNA from 1 species